GCCUCCGUAGCUCAACGGAUAGAGCACCGGGUUUCUAACCCGUAGAUGUGGGUUCGAUUCCUACCGGAGGCACAA
rnacentral:tRNA from 1 species